UGAUCAACAGCCAGGGCAUUAUGCAGUCACCGGUGGUCCGUGAGCAUGCCGGAAUAGCUGACAACCAGGUCAUCAUGAAAAGCAUCGCAUUGGGAUGGCCGGAUGAAACCUUCCCGGCAAAUGCGGUGGUGUCCGAGCGAAAGUCAGUCGAAGAAGCCACCGUGUUCGUGGGCUUCGACAGCUAACCCCGACGCUCCGCCGUGACGGCGAUAGU
rnacentral:misc_RNA from 1 species